AGCAGCCGCGGUAAUUCCAGCUCCAAUAGCGUAUAUUAAAGUUGUUGCAGUUAAAAAGCUCGUAGUUGAAUUUCGGGGUUAGUAGGUUGGUCAUGCCUCUGGUAUGUACUGGUCUCACUGAUUCCUCCUUCCUGAUGAAUCUUAAUGCCAUUAAUUUGGUGUUUUGGGGAAUUUGGACUGUUACUUUGAAAAAAUUAGAGUGUUUAAAGCAAGCUAACGCUUGAAUACAUUAGCAUGGAAUAAUGAAAUAGGACGUUCGAUCCUAUUUUGUUGGUUUCUAGGAUUGACGUAAUGAUUAAUAGAGAUAGUUGGGGGCAUUAGUAUUCAAUUGUCGGAGGUGAAAUUCUUGGAUUUAUUGAAGACUAACUACUGCGAAAGCAUUUGCCAAGUAUGUUUUCAUUAAUCAAGAACGAAAGUUAGGGGAUCGAAGACGAUCAGAUACCGUCGUAGUCUUAACCAUAAACUAUGCCGACUAGGGAUCGGAUGAUGUUAAUUUUUUAAUGACUCA
rnacentral:rRNA from 1 species